rnacentral:rRNA from 1 species
UACGUAGGGUGCAAGCGUUGUCCGGAAUUAUUGGGCGUAAAGAGCUCGUAGGCGGUCUGUCGCGUCGGCUGUGAAAACCUGGGGCUUAACCCCGGGCCUGCAGCCGAUACAGGCAGACUAGAGUUCGGCAGGGGAGACUGGAAUUCCUGGUGUAGCGGUGAAAUGCGCAGAUAUCAGGAGGAACACCGGUGGCGAAGGCGGGUCUCUGGGCCGAAACUGACGCUGAGGAGCGAAAGCGUGGGGAGCAAACGGG